ensembl:processed_transcript
AGCUUCGGAGCUGAUGGAGAGACAGAAAGCACGCAACUGGAAAAAUUCAAACAUGGAAUUCAUGGAUUAAAUGGUCACCAAUUGUUUCAGCAUUGCGUAUUGAAUAAUACAACCUUCUUCCACUGCCGUGAAAUGUCAACAGCUGCUCUCCCACUAGAUAGGGCGUAGCUUUCCACAGACGUGAAAACAUUGCUGUGGUCCAUCUCUAUUUACUGCAAGCAGAAAGGUCAAGACAGAAAACAUAGAGGCUUUUAGUAGGAGAGGGCAGACAUGCUUUAUCAUAUCUUUGAGCUACAAUUCUGGCCUACAGCAGAGAUACAGCCUGGUAUCCAUUAAGAGCAAGGCCUCUGGACCCAGGCUUCCUGGGCUUGCCUCCUGAUCCCAUGCUUUACUAAUUGUAUCGCCACAGAAAGAAAGGCUCCAGAUUUGUUUCCUGGUAUUGCUGCUAUUGGUAUUACUGUCAUUAUUAUUAUUUUAUUAUUAUUAUUUUAUCAUCAUCAACAGCAUCAUCAUUAUUAUUACUAUUAAUACUUUUUUUACAAUUAAAGUACAUUGGUGAAUCUUUAAUGUUCAUCUAUUGAAAUAGCUACAGUGCAAGACAAAGAGAGGCCUUCAUGCAUGGUGUGCAUUUGCCACCUAGCGACCACACUGAGGGAGAAGGAACGUGGAGCAUCUGCACAGUCUUCCAAACAACACCCCUCACCCAUAGUUGAAACUUUGGAUUCACACCCUUCUCUGGCACUUCUGACAAUAAGCUUGGUGACCCAUGCUCUGGAGGAAGACAGUGAAGAAGAACAAGACUACUUUUCUGCGGCAAACUCUUAUGUUCUCUGUUCUCUCCUUACCACCGUUGUCAUGAGCAGCAUUUUUCAUAGAUGCACUGUUAUCCUUGCCAUGAGGGCAGACAAAAAUGAAAAAUAGUUGCCAAGUAACCACAAUGGCUGAUAUGAAACUUUGGGAAAUAUCACUGAGAUGCGCUUUGAUAUUUUAUUUCUGUGAACAAACCAAUUGUCUUGGACUUUCACAGUACUCUUUUCUAUGUCUCACCCUUUACCACAAAGGUCCUUUAGUCCUCUGACAUGCAUAGUGUGAGGGAUUCUGUCACACAUUCUAGAACCUCGUAAAGCAUGAGGGGCCUGCUAUCUGUGCUUUAUCAUCUUCAUUCCUGAAGUUUACUUUAAUUCUGAUUAGUUUGGCAUAAGGUCAUUUGUUGUGUGUAGUCAUCUAAGUUAUGUAUUGCCUGAUCCUAAGUAGCAGAGCAUUUAUCAUAAAUUCCUUGAUUUGCAUUGGUACCUAAUCAAGGUGGAAGAGUUAAUAUAGUUAAUUUCCAUAGUUCCCUCUUGUUCUCAUGUUUGCCUCACCAAAGUGUUUCUGAGAUGCUAAACCUCCUCCAGAAAAGGUAAUGCUAAUAUUUCCUAUUCCCAAAAGGUGCUGCAGAACUCACUUCUAGUUGAAGUUUGAGAGUUUAAUUCACUUUUGUAAUCUCAUUAUUUGACUAAAGUAUUGUUAAAGUG